GACAGAGGUGCCAAGCGUUAGGCGGAAUCACUGGGCUUAAAGCGUGUGUAGGCGGAAUUGUAAGUACCUUGUGAAAUCCCAGGGCUCAACCCUGGAACUGCCUUUGAUACUGGGAGCCUGGAGUUCGGGAGAGGUGAGUGGAAUUCCGAGUGUAGAGGUGAAAUUCGUAGAUAUUCGGAGGAACACCAGAAGCGAAGGCGGCUCACUGGCCCGAUACUGACGCUGAGGCGCGAAAGCGUGGGGAGCAAACAGG
rnacentral:rRNA from 1 species